rnacentral:rRNA from 1 species
UGCAGUCGAGCGGUAGAGAGAAGCUUGCUUCUCUUGAGAGCGGCGGACGGGUGAGUAAUGCCUAGGAAUCUGCCUGGUAGUGGGGGAUAACGUUCGGAAACGAACGCUAAUACCGCAUACGUCCUACGGGAGAAAGCAGGGGACCUUCGGGCCUUGCGCUAUCAGAUGAGCCUAGGUCGGAUUAGCUAGUUGGUGAGGUAAUGGCUCACCAAGGCGACGAUCCGUAACUGGUCUGAGAGGAUGAUCAGUCACACUGGAACUGAGACACGGUCCAGACUCCUACGGGAGGCAGCAGUGGGGAAUAUUGGACAAUGGGCGAAAGCCUGAUCCAGCCAUGCCGCGUGUGUGAAGAAGGUCUUCGGAUUGUAAAGCACUUUAAGUUGGGAGGAAGGGCAGUUACCUAAUACGUGAUUGUUUUGACGUUACCGACAGAAUAAGCACCGGCUAACUCUGUGCCAGCAGCCGCGGUAAUAC